AAGGGUAUAGUUCAGUGGUAGACUGUGUGCCUGGCAUGCAUGAGGUCCUGGGUUCAAUCCCUGGUACCUCCA
rnacentral:tRNA from 1 species